rnacentral:tRNA from 9 species
ACUUCAAAUCCAUUGCUGUGUCGCUGAUUGCUUGUGCGUUCAACU